rnacentral:rRNA from 1 species
ACCAUGACAAAACUUUUGACAAUCACGCGCUUCUAGCGAAUUUAGAUAAAUUGCACAGACAAUGGCGCAUUCGAAAGAAUGUACGCGGAACGGAUGAAAAUCCGGCAUAGAAGACAACCCAUAAUAAGCAAGAUCGCAACUUGUUCGCGUGAGAAAGUCAUUUCAUUAAUUGGAGAUUUUUUAGUGAUUUUGGUGGUGCACCGGGGGUUGUAGGACCGCGAUGUGGUAUGUAGAAGCUUAGCCAAAGUGGGCUGGAAAGCCCCACCGAAGAGGGUGAUAGUCCCGUAGGCGAAAGGCUGAUAUGGCCUAGCGGUAUCCUGAGUACCAUGGGACACGAGAAAUCCUGUGGGAAUCUGGGGGGACCACCCUCCAAGGCUAAAUAUCUUCCGAUGACCGAUAGUGAACCAGUACCGUGAGGGAAAGGUGAAAAGAACCCCGGCGAGGGGAGUGAAAUAGAACCUGAAACCGUGUGCCUACAAGCUAUCGGAGCGGGACUUCGGUCCCGUGACGGUGUGCCUUUUGAUUAAUGAGCCGGCGAGUUACUGGCUGUGGCGAGGUUAAGUCUUUACGGGACGGAGCCGCAGGGAAACCGAGUCUGAACAGGGCGAAUGAGUCACGGUCAGUAGACCCGAAGCCAGGUGAUCUACCCAUGGUCAGGGUGAAGUGCGGGUAAAACCGCAUGGAGGCCCGAACCGUUGUUCGUUGCAAAGAGCUCGGAUGAACUGUGGGUAGGGGUGAAAGGCCAAUCAAACCUGGUGAUAGCUGGUACUCCCCGAAAUGUAUUUAGGUACAGCCUCGAGUUAAUAUCUGCGUGGGGGUAGGGCACUGGAUGGGCUAGGGGGCCUCACAGCCUACCAAACCCAACCAAACCUCGAAUACCGCGUAUGAGUUUCUCGGGAGUGAGACUGCGGGUGCUAAGAUUCGUAGUCGAGAGGGAAACAGCCCAGACCGUCAGCUAAGGUCCCCAAGACAGUGCUAAGUGGGAAAGGAUGUGGUGUUGCCCAGACAGCCAGGAGGUUGGCUUAGAAGCAGCCACCCUUUAAGGAAAGCGUAACAGCUCACUGGUCAAGCGACACUGCGCCGAAAAUGUAACGGGGCUCAAGCACUGCACCGAAGCUACGGGACUAGAGACUAGAUACUAGAGACUGGAAACUAGGAGAAGAUUCAUGCCAUACCAUCGACUUGACGUAUAUCGCAAGGCGUAUGAUCUGGCUUUGGAAGUCCACCGCAAGAGCGUGGAGUUUCCCAAGCAGGAGCAAUACGAACUGGCGCAGCAGUUAAGGAAGUCGAGCAAGUCCAUCGCGGCUAAUAUAGCCGAAGGGAUGGGCAAGCAGGAGAGCAAGGCCGACGUAAGGCGUUUUAUACGCAUUGCGGUUGGUUCUUGUGAUGAGUGCAGGGUAUGGUUGGAUUUCGCAAGAGACCUUGGUUACAUAAGCCCUAAGGAGCACGAUGCAUUAGACGCACGCUAUCGUGAAGUUGGGCGGAUGUUGACCGGGUUAUUGAAGCGAUAUGGACAGGACAAAUCAAAGGACAAAUGAGGAUUUUUUCUUAUUGGAGCUUUUGUCUUUUGAGUUUGAAGUUUAAGUGCCUAUAGCUUUAAGAGCCUUUUGUUUAAGGUUUUAAGCUUUUGAGGCUUUAAGACUUUAAGGUUUUGUCUUUUGUUUUAGCUUCUUCUAGUAUCUGUUUUCUAGUAUCUAGUCUCUAGUCGGUAGGGGAGCAUUGCGUGGACUGUUGAAGGUGUGGCGUGAGCCAUGCUGGAGGGGACGCAAGAGAGUAUGCCGGCAUAAGUAGCGUAAAUUCUGAUGAAAAGUCAGGACGCCGAAAGCCUAAGGUUUCCUGGGGAAGGCAAAUCCGCCCAGGGUUAGUCGGGCCUAAGACGAGGCCGAAGGGCGUAGUCGAUGGACAACUGGUUAAUAUUCCAGUACCGCUCGCAUGGUGUUUGACCGAAGGGGGGACGCAGUAGGAUAGAUCGAGCCUGGUGAUGGUUCAGGUCCAAGUACCGAGGCUGGUGCGUAGGCAAAUCCGCGCGCCAUUAAGGCUGAGGUACGAUGGGGAAAGCAAUUGCGCUGAACUCGAUUGAUUUCACACUGACGAGAAAAACCUCGUAGGGAAUCAUGUGUGCGCCCGUACCGCAAACCGACACAGGUAGGCAAGUAGAGGAUACUAAGGCGUUCGAGUUAACUCUCGCUAAGGAACUCGGCAAAUUAACCCCGUAACUUCGGGAGAAGGGGUCCUCACGCAAGUGAGGCGCAGUGACAUGGCCCAGGCGACUGUUUACCAAAAACAUAGGUGUCUGCUAACUCGAAAGAGGAUGUAUAGACACUGACGCCUGCCCGGUGCCGGAAGGUUAACAGGAGGGGUUAGGCUUCGGGCGAAGCUCUGAAUCGAAGCCCCGGUAAACGGCGGCCGUAACUAUAACGGUCCUAAGGUAGCGAAAUUCCUUGUCGGGUAAGUUCCGACCUGCACGAAUGGCGUAACGAUCUGGGCGCUGUCUCGGCGAGAGACUCGGCGAACUUGAGAUACCGGUGAAGACGCCGGUUACCCGCAGCAAGACGGAAAGACCCCGUGCACCUUUACUGCAGCUUGGCAGUGAGUUUUGGUUAUGUAUGUGUAGGAUAGGUGGGAGGCUAUGAAGUCCCGGCGCUAGCUGGGGUGGAGCCAACCUUGAAAUACCACCCUUAUAUGAUUGGGACUCUAACCUGCUCCCGUAAUCCGGGAGAGGGACACUGUCUGGCGGGUAGUUUGACUGGGGCGGUCGCCUCCCAAAGAGUAACGGAGGCGCCCAAAGGUCUCCUCAGGCUGGACGGAAACCAGCCUUUGAGUGCAAAGGCAUAAGGAGGCUUGACUGUGAGACCGACAGGUCGAGCAGGUGCGAAAGCAGGGCUUAGUGAUCCGGUGGUUCCGCGUGGAAGGGCCAUCGCUCAACGGAUAAAAGGUACGCCGGGGAUAACAGGCUGAUAGCAUCCAAGAGUUCAUAUCGACGAUGCUGUUUGGCACCUCGAUGUCGGCUUAUCACAUCCUGGGGCUGAAGCAGGUCCCAAGGGUUCGGCUGUUCGCCGAUUAAAGUGGUACGCGAGCUGGGUUCAGAACGUCGUGAGACAGUUCGGUCCCUAUCUGCUGUGGGCGUAGGAGAUUUGAGAGGAGCUGUCCCUAGUACGAGAGGACCGGGAUGGACGGACCUCUGGUGUUCCGGUUGUCAUGCCAGUGGCAACGCCGGGUAGCCAUGUCCGGUUGGGAUAAACGCUGAAAGCAUCUAAGCGUGAAGCCCGCCUCGAGAUUAGAUCUCCCUGUGGCUUCGUGCCACCUGAAGGUCCGUGGAAGACUACCACGUUGAUAGGCUGGAAGUGUAAGCAUGGCGACAUGUUCAGCUUACCAGUACUAAUAGACCGUGAGGCUUGACC